rnacentral:misc_RNA from 1 species
CAUUCUACACUGUAUCGAGUUUUAUGUGAAAACGCGAGCCCUCCCGCAAGGGGGACCCACGCGGUGAUGCACAAAGGGGUGAGAUGGAUUGUAUGAAAGUGCUUGGGCGUGCACGACCUUUGAAGGUCAGCGACAGCCCUCACACCUCCGUUGUACAAUAAUGAUCCUUCCGCAGGUUCACCUACGGAAACCUUGUUACGACUUUUACUUCCUCUAAAUGACCAAGA